AGUCAUAUUUGAUAUAUACAGCAUAAUUAUAACAACUGAAGGUAACAGUUAUUUGAUUGUGCUACAAAGUGAUACUACGUGGCUGGGAAACAUAAUUCUGCCCUUUAAAAGUAAAAACUGAUCCAGUCUGGAUGGUUACUGUAGACAGACUUGUUCCAUAAACAGAAACAUUCAAUUUUUUUUUUUUGUUUGUUUUGUUAAAAAUCUCUGAUCUUCUGAAAUUAAUGAGACGUUUAAUUAAAGGUAAAACAAGGAGAAGUAGCUCCCCGCUGUGAGGGCUGAACUGUGUGCAGGUAUGUCAGAUAUGGGGGCGAGAAUUUACAGCAGCGUGAACAGUAAAUGAGCGCGGCCUUCCCUCCCACAGCUUGCAGGAAUGAGCUCAUAAUGACAGAGAGUAACAGCCUGAACUCUCUCUGCUCCGCCGCCGAGCUUACGGCCGGUGGGCGGGGCGUCACUGACAUGGCGACCGACGCUGGAGGAGGAUUUAGGGAACCCUGGUGGAGAGAAGCGUGUUCUGUGGAGUCCGUGGCAGGGUAACGACGGGGAAUUUACGUCAGCAUCAAAAGAAUGGGCUGUGCCAUCUGUCCGUGGCUUUGUGUUGUGUGUUGCUGUCGUAAAGGGUGAUUUGCGGACCACACUCCCGUUCCAGUCCGCGGGACAUCAAUCGCUUAUAUCCCCUCCCCCCGUUUUGUAAACGCCGUCAGCCGUGCAGUACCCGACUUCAUCGCUUUAACUCUCACAGAUCUCAGGAAGCACAUGGGCAUGUCAGGCUCUGAGACGGUGAGAAUCCACACCGGCCCAUGCACACACAGCACCAGCAUGAACAUGGAAAAAGAAACGCUGGAGAAACAGAAUCUGCCUGCAAGAAAAAAAUAUAAUAACAUACAUAAUCAAAGGGAACAAUGAGAAUGACGAUAAACAAAUGAACAAAGUGAUUCAGGCCCAAUGCUGUCAGAAGGCAUAAUGAAACUUCAGCCUGGAGGAUUCAUUAGAGAGAAUUGAUGCUAAGUGAACGUCACCUCGCAUGGAGCCUUAGGAGAGGCGGGAGGGAGCGGGAAGAGCCCAGAGAGGAAGAAAUCAGUCCAACAUUGUCCACACGCUUAAACCCAACCAGGACAGGCUCGUCCAAACAAACCGUCAUGCUGCAGCAGCCUUGUUAGAGCUACAGCCGCCCCCUCUCCACACCUACUCGCCAACCCGGCUCUGCCACCAUCUGCCUGGGCGGAUCAGAGGAGCAGCAGCUCUAGGUUGACUACAUCUACGCUGCACCGUAACUUCAUGUAACACAGAGGCAUGGAUUCCUGCUACAAUGUGACACAGAAUGAUGUAGGGGUGGGAAUUUAUCGCAUUAUCGUUUAUCAUUUAUUGUGAUACAUUUAUUGUCACAUUAAAUUCCAACUAAUGUUUUUAAAAAA